CUGAUACUUAUUUUAUUGUUCUUUUUCUUUUUUUAUUGUUCUUUUUCUAUAAUAAUGGCAUCUUUCAAAAGGAUUAUGUUCAAGUCAUAAUUGGAAUUAUUCUAAGUUAUUUCCUUGAUUAAUGUGUGUGGGAAAAUAUAACUCAGAAGUAUUCAAAGGCUAUAUUUCUGUCCUUAUCACCAUAGAGAUCCAUUUAGCCAUCCCAUGUUUACUUGUUUCAGGCAACACAUUAGAACAAAGAAAUAUUUUAUGAAGUGCUUCAUGCUGGAAUUACUCUUUUUCUGAAAGAAGAAAGCAUGAAUUCAUCCAUUAUGGUUGAAUAAUUUUAAGUGAAGUCAUUUAAAUGUCAUUUUCAGUCACAAAUGAAGAGUUUGGUCAAGGGAUUUUUUUAACUGAUUACCUUUCUGGAAUGUUGCAUUGGUUAGCUCUGGAGGUGGUAGCUCAGUGGUAGAACAGUGAUCCAGGCUGCAUGCUGCAUGGUCCCUGGGUUCCAUCCCUAGCACAGCCAAACAGUAAAAAAAAAAAAAAAAAAAAAAAAUUUGUUAAACUUAGAAAAGGAUUUUGAUAAAAAUGUAAAAUAUCUUCCAAGAGAAUCCCAUGUCCUAUGUUCUUGUUUAACAUAAACAAACAUUAACUGAGCACCAGGAGAAGGGAGGAGAGAACCUAUUUAUUGAAUAUCAUCUAUGUGCCAAUUACUUUCCAUGAUCUAUUUUAAUUCUCAAAACAGUCUUCUAAGGCAUUUGGUGACUUUGGUAGGUCACCAGUCCUCGGUUCUUUAUCAGUAAAAUGGAAUGACAAUGUUUGCAAAGAUCAAACAUCAUGUGGGCAAAGCACACAUCUAUCAGAGUUGGAAAGAUGGAAAAUACAGUUGAUGACAUGAAAUGUUGAAGAAAACCUUAGUUGCAAUGCUGCCACUUGUGAUCAUCUCACUGACUUGGAAUUCCACGGAGCACUUUGGUGGAGCAGUGGUGUGUCAGGUAGAGAGUCAUGACAAACUUCCCAGUGGUUAGAACAAGGCAAAACUUCACUAUCG
rnacentral:lncRNA from 1 species